AGCCACAUUUGUGUCUUAUGGCUUUCUAUUCCUAUGUGAGUUGGUUUGGCAUGUCAUGUAGGGUCUAAAGCCAUUAGAUACUCAGUGGACA
rnacentral:pre_miRNA from 11 species